UACCGCCAGGCAGGACCCGGCUCGCUUACUUGGCGUUCUCGGGCCUGCAGUCCUUGGCAUCUCAGCUCGUGGGUGGAGAGCAACGGGCUUCACGUCGAGGAAUAUUACUUGAU
rnacentral:rRNA from 1 species